ACAACGCCUAAACUCAAAGCAUUGUCCCGUCUCUUCAUCGUCUUCCUCACCCCCAUAUUCUCCUCCAUCUGAUACACCAGCCACCGCCUUAGGAAAGUACAAAGGACAGAGCCGCCGCUAUGGGUAAGUAGGAGGUGUCAACAGCCUUGGAAAUCAAGUUUCAAAUUUGGUGAUUCCCCAAAGCUAUGAAGAUAGAGCUGGAACCCUAGAAUCAGGAGCUGGAACUCUAGAAAUCUGGAGGUGGCAAGUCUAGUACCUAUAUGGGUGACAAAUAAAUAAGUUUGAAGUUAUUUUACUGCAAGGGUGUUUUUAAUAAUGUAAUAUACAUGUGUGUUUUUGUUAAUCAUGUUUGGGUCCUAGACAAGAACUUGGAUUUUAGUUGACCUUUUGUUGUAAAUGUUGUUGUAAAACCCUCUUGUAAUAAAGGUUGUGUUUCAAUUUCGAAAACUUGUC